GGGCUCACUUCAGCAACACACAUACUGAAAUUGGAAAGAUACAGAGAAGAUCAGCACAGCCCCUGUGCGAGGAUGACACACAAACUCAUGAAGCGUUCCAUACUUUU
ensembl:snRNA U6 U6 spliceosomal RNA